UGCAGAAUUACUGCUAAUGCUCCAUAACUAACCCUCUGAAAUCUCAUAUUUCACUCCCUGUUGUGCAGUCAAACAGUUUAACUCUGUGACCCAAGGAACCACCAUCGCUAUGGUCUGCCACUAUAGAUUUUCUUCACUCUUAGGAAUAAGCAGUUCUUCAGACUCAAGUGCCUGAACUUUCUGGCUGUCUGAACACAGUACUGCUUCCUUCUACACAUCAAGCUGUGCUGCAUAACUCGCAUCACUCACCUGCAUAGCACUGGAACCAUUAGUAAUUUCACAAUGAUAAAAAUAGUCAUCAUCUCAAAACUCCUUCCAGCAGAAGGCCUCAAGUGCUGAACUACUGCAGGACCUGGAACCACAG
ensembl:lncRNA